ACAACCAAUGCGCUCCUUUAAAGCUCGUCUAAAAAAUGUAAUCUAAUAUGGCUUCUAUGUAGUUGAUUUCACUGUAAAAGUCGGCCGUCAAUAAUAAUGACUGUCAGCCCUCGGUGUAAACACUGUUUAAAAGAUUGCAGCGAACCUGAGCCAUGUAGAGUAACCCAGGCUCAACGUUGUGAAAGUUGAAAGAGCUCGUAUUUUGGGGUGACCCAGCCGCUUCUGACGUCCACGUUUGGAGGACUUUUCCAUCUUAUUUCAAGAAAUGGACUGGGAGCGGUGGUGUUCACCACCACUGUGACAUUUACAGAGGAGGGACUCACCGCCUCGCUGGACUGUGGACGAUCUUUAUCCAGAUGUUACAUCGCAGCGGAGGACCUGCUCUCUCUCACCUUGCAGCCCCCUCUGAGACACACGACUCAGGUAUGACCGCUUAUGAGGAGCCGGAGAGGUGAAUCACCGGGAAGGGAGGAGCUGCUGGCGCAUGACCUGCCCACCUGAGAGCCGGCGGAGAUGGCAAACACGGCGAGAUUCGUCACUUCGCCAGAUAUGAUAGCCCACCUGUUUCAGUCCGCCGAGAAAAGACGGACGGCUUUGAACGCAUCGCGACCGCAGAAGAAGGUGUGUUUUACCUGCUGACUGUUGCAAUGUUGCCAGACAGGAACCCUUAAAAAAU